rnacentral:rRNA from 1 species
UACGUAGGGCGCAAGCGUUGUCCGGAAUUAUUGGGCGUAAAGAGCUCGUAGGCGGCCUGUUACGUCUGCUGUGAAAUCCCGGGGCUUAACCCCGGGCGUGCAGUGGAUACGGGCAGGCUGGAGGCAGGCAGGGGAGAACGGAAUUCCCGGUGUAGCGGUGAAAUGCGCAGAUAUCGGGAAGAACACCCGUGGCGAAGGCGGUUCUCUGGGACGGUACUGACGCUGAGACGCGAAAGCGUGGGGAGCGAACAGG